rnacentral:rRNA from 1 species
CAAUAGCGUAUACUAAAGUUGUUGCAGUUAAAAGCUCGUAGUUGGAUUUCUGUGCACCGGUUGUUGGUCCGCCUCUAUGAGGUGGGUCCUUCACCGUUGUACAUCCUGUUGGCAGACACGUGCUGGCAUUCAUUUUGUCGGUGCGGGGAGACCACUCGUUUAACUUUGAGAAAAUUAAAGUGUUCAAAGCAGGCGCUCGCUUGAAUACAUUAGCAUGGAAUAAUAGUAUAGGACUUUGAUCUUAUUUGUUGGUUUCUAAGGGCCGGAAGUAAUGAUUAAGAGGGACAAUUGGGGCAUCCGUAUUUCGUUGUCAGAGGUGAAAUUCUUGGAUUUAC